rnacentral:rRNA from 1 species
GUCUUUUUGAGUUAUUUUUAAAGUCUGACCUGCCCACUGAAAUUUUAAAUGGCCGCAGUAUUCUAACUGUGCAAAGGUAGCAUAAUCAUUAGUCUUUUAAUUGAAGGCUGGUAUGAACGGUUGGACGAGGUAUAAGCUGUUUCAUAUGAAUUUAUAAUAGAAUUUUAUAUUUUAGUCAAAAAGCUGAAAUGUAGUUAAAAGACGAGAAGACCCUAUAAAUCUUUAUAUUUUGUGUAAUUUAAAUUUUUUUGAUUUGUUUUAUUUUUAUUAUAUUAAAUAUUUUGUUGGGGUGAUGUUAAAAUUUAAUGAACUUUUAAUUGUUUUAAAUCAUUAAUUUAUGAAUUAUUGAUCCGUUAAUAGUGAUUAUAAGAUUAAGUUACUUUAGGGAUAACAGCGUAAUUUUUUUGGAGAGUUCUUAUCGAUAAAAAAGUUUGCGACCUCGAUGUUGGAUUAAGAUAUAGUUUUAGGUGUAGCCGCUUAAAUUUUAAGUCUGUUCGACUUUUAAAUUCUU